GCCGGGCUGGCGCAAUUGGUAGCGCGCAAGACUUCUACAACUCCCCAACAGGAUGACAUCUUGAGGUUGUGGGUUCGAGUCCCACGUUCGGUG